GAGGGUAUAGCUCAGUCGUAGAGCACAUGCCUAGCAUGCACCAGGUCCUGGGUUCAACCCCUAGUACCUUCA
rnacentral:tRNA from 1 species